GACGAACGCUGGCGGCGCGCUUAACACAUGCAAGUCGAGCGAAGCGGCGGACGGGUGAGUAACACGUGAGUAACCUGCCUUAGACAUUGGGAUAGCCUCGGGAAACCGGGAUUAAUACCAAAUGGUCUAAGAUGGACUCGCGUGCCAUUAGCUAGUUGGUGAGGUAACGGCCCACCAAGGCGACGAUGGGUAGCCGGCCUGAGAGGGUGAACUCGCACCUUGGAACUGGGAAAAGGUGCAAACUCGACGGAAGGCAGCAGUGGGGAAUAUUGCACAAUGGAGGGAACUAAGAUGCAGCGACGCCGGGUGAACGAAGAAGGCUUUCGAGUCGUAAAGUUCUUUUAUAUGGGAAGCGGUACCAUAAGAAAAAGCCCCGGCUAACUACGUGCCAGCCGCCGCGGUAAUUC
rnacentral:rRNA from 1 species